GCCGAAGUGGUGGAACUGGCAGACGCGCUGGACUCAAAAUCCUGUGGUAGCAAUACCGUGCGGGUUCGAUUCCCGCCUUCGGCACCA
rnacentral:tRNA from 2 species